UUAUACAUUUUGUUUAUAUAUUUUAACGUAUAUUAAUAUAUUUAAAUAUAAUUUGCAGAUUUUAGAAAUGAAUAUGUAAUUAAAAUAUAAUUAUUUUAUUUCAUUUGGAAUACUUUUAAUGAUUUACGAAAUCAAAAUGUAUUUUCGAAUUGUACGUUAAAACGAUUUCGAAUUACGAAACCACGUUCUAUUGAAAUUAGAAAACAAGUACUAAAUAUUUGGAUUCACCUAAAUUCCUACUCCUAGCCCAAUUGGGCAUAGCCCAAACCAAUAAACCCAACAAAUACUCCUUUCUCUCCUCUACUCUUACGUGAAACCAAAAGAAGAAGAAAAAAAGAGAAGCCCUCAUUCUUCAAUUCACGCACAACUCAGCCAUCUCUCCUUCCUCUCCUCCACGCCGUCGCCCUCGCUGUUGCCCAGCCACCGGACCACCACCGCUCCCGCCGCAACCCCGUUCGCGCAGCACCACGCACGCAACCCCGGUUCGCACAGCAGCCACCGCACGCAACCACCGUGCCCAGCCCUUGCCGCGAGCCACCACCGUCCGCCGGUCAACCCUCUAUCCUCCUUAUUGAAUUGGCGGAGAAUUCUCUUUAGGCGACUUUUGUAAGUGUUAAAGUGGUCUAUCAGUUUGUUUACACAAGUCUCUAAGGAUCAAUAAGCGUUGCCCAUCUACAGGUUUGAAGAUGAUGCAUCAUUGGGAUCGGGAUUAGAGAGCUUGUAGUUAUAUUUGUUUAAUUAAGUGAUUUAAUUUGUUAAUUUGGACUUGAAAUUUGUCGUACUAUUCGUGAUUCCUUAUUUUCGUUAAUUGGUUUUUGAACUUAAUAUGUAAUCGAUUAUUUAUAAACCUAAAAGUUAGUUUUAUGUUUUCCGCUGCAAAAUUCUGAAUAAGCCAUUACG